rnacentral:misc_RNA from 1 species
GAUGAAGAACGCAGUGAAACGCGAUAUGUAAUGUGAAUUGCAGAAUUCAGUGAAUCAUCGGAUCUUUGAACGCACAUGGCGCCUUCCAGUAUCCUGGGAGGCAUGCCUGUCCGAGCGUCGUUUCAACCCUCGAGCCCCCGUGGCCCGGCGUUGGGGAUCUGCCCAGGCAGUCCCCGAAAACCAGUGGCGGACCCGUUACAGGCCCUUCCCUUGCGUAGUAGCAUUCGCCUCGCAUCGGGAGCCAGCGGGCUUCCAGCCUCUAAACCCCCAUCAAGUCCGCCCCGGCGGCACCAAGGUUGACCUCGGAUCAGGUAGGAAUACCCGCUGAACUUAAGCAUAUCAAUAAGCGGAGGA